UCAUCAUUGGUGUCAUGUGAUUGCACUUUGGCUUCUAAUGAAUCUUUUUCUGUUUAUCAUAUUGGUCACCAGUAAGAAGUCACAGAACCUCAGGAUGCUUUGGUAACCAAAAGAAAUCCUUGGUGUGUGUUAUGGGCUGAAUCGUGUUGAAAUCCUAACCCCCACUACCUCGGAAUAUGAUUGUAUUUAGAAAUAAGGUAUUUACAGAGGUAAUUAAGUUUUAAUCAGGUCAUUAGGGUGGGCCCUGAUUCAAUAUUCCUGAUAUCCUUAUAAGAAGAGGAGAUUAGGACACAGACACACUGAAAGUGAUGAUCGCGUGAAGACCGAGAGAACGCAGCCACCUCCAAGCCAAGGAGAGAGGCUCGCAAGAAACCAGACACACUGACGUCUUGGACUCGCAGCUUCCAGAACCGGAGGAAAGAAAUUUCUCUUGUUUAAGUCACCCAGUCUAUGCUGCUUUGUUAUGGCAGUCCCAGAAAACUGUUACAGUGUGUUGCCAUGGAAUUCUCUACUUGCCCCUGGAAUUUUGUAGAAAGGGACUUGGGGAGCAGAGAUGCUGGCAACAACAAUGGAGAGAAGGAGGAGGAAUGACCAUUGGUUGCAUGUAUCUGCUGUGGGAGAGGACAGAGAAUAUCACGGAUGGUAGCAGGACUGGUGAAUUAUUUUAUUGAGAGAGUAGAGAGUGAUGUGUUCUGGAGAUCACCUGAGUGUUACAGAGGAAAACAAACAUGGGCCGGGCUUCAUGACAUGGGGUGUUUGCCUACUGCUAAAGGGCUUCUGGGGAUUGGAAGAGAGGUAUGGUGAUGAUGUACAGUGUAGUCCUUAGUUUUGUACAACUUCCAUAUAUAUCCUAUUUAAGAAAUACUCAUUGAGCUUUACCAUGUGUUAUGUCCUGACCCUAAGUUUAGACCUAUGAGAUAAGAUCCAUUUCUGUCUUCAAGGCUCUCCAAAACAAAUAAGGAGUUUACAGUAUACUGAUUUGUCAUUGCCCAGCAAUGACAAAUAUUAUUAUUUUUAAAAUAUUAUUAUUAUUAUAGGCAAUGUGUGUUGAGCACUCAUUAUGUUCUAGGCAUUGUGCUAAAUGCCCAUUACAAAGAUUUGAAAAGGCUGCUUAUACGUUAGGCAACUUAAUUAAGUCAGCUACCCAAGGAGGAGCCAGGAUUUAAAGAUCAAUCAAAUCAAUGACAUAGAUGGCUAGGCAAUACUAACCAGCACACUUAGAAUUACUAGAGCGUGAAUCCCUAUGAUGGUUUGAAACACAGAUUUGGAAGUCAGACCUAACUUAGGCCACUGGAUGAGAAAAUCCAAACUGGCAUUUGUGGAAUGUUACCUUGUGUCCUCUCUGUACAUGUCAUUGUCAAGGAAAUCUUUGCUGCACAGUAAAUAGCCAUUCAUAGAGUGUGAGUCCAUGGUAGAGGCACUUCCUCUUGUCAUCAUCAGAAGGUAAGUGCAAGAUGAUGAGUGGGUUCUUUUGAGUCUGGCACUGUGUCUGCCAAUGAAUUUUUCUGUUUCCACUUGCAUUUCUGUCCUCCUUUUAUGUCUUCCUAAAAAAUUAGAUAUUUGUUGGUCAAUGCAGCAGCUAACUAUUUGAUAGCAUCUAGUGACAUUCCAGUUUAUCAAUUUAUAGUGAGAAAUAGAAUCUGUGCAAACGACAAAACCUUUAUCAGUCUGACCAUCACACUGUGUCCCUGGAGGCCUUGGAAGCUGGAUUAUAAUCAAAGGGUUGCAUGAAGUGCGUGGAAUCAGAACAGAGUUAGAUAAAUCACAUAUUGAAUGGUUUCAGGCUAAGACAUCCUGUUUCAUCCCAUCUUCUCCAGAGGUAUGGGCCUUCCAGUGGGAGUGGAAUACCCAAAGUGUGCAAUAUUCCAGACUGAUUCCAAAGAACUGAAAGUGACCAGCCUUGAGAAAUAUGGAUGAUAAUGAGAAUUAUUUUUCUCACGUCUUCCCUCCCUCCCUCUCUUCCUUGCGUCCUUCCAUGCUUCCUUUCUUCUUCUCUCUUCAUUUUCCUUUCUCUGACUUCCUAUUUCUGUUACAUCUUUUUAUACUACACUAGCUGCAAAUAUGAACCAAGAAACGUCAUUAAUUUUACCUAAGUGAGGUACCUAUUUUUCCAGAAAUGUAGAAUUAGAAAAAAAAAAGAGAGAGAACUAAAAGGAUAGAUGAAAAUAAUGAGAUUUAAAGAGAUUGUGUUUCACUCAAAGUUAAUAUAACUAUAUUGUCUGAGGAGAGACUAGAACUCAGGCCUUCCAAGUCAUCACCAUUUUUCUUAAUAAUGACUGAAUUUGAGUUAAGGCAAAUAAUGUUCUCUUGUUGUAUUAAACUUCUCUGUUUUCUUAAAAAAUAUUCAGAUGUUUCUGUGUGUGAAUAAGUCUUUAACUAGGAAAUCUUUAUAAGGCUGUCAUAUGGGUCAAAUAAGAUUUACUUGUCUAUGCUUUUCAAAGAGGAUAAUUCAUUAGGUAUCUGAUUUUAGAAUUCUAGUUGCAAAAUGAUAUUGCAACUUAAUGACUAAUGAUUUUAAUAUUUCACUUUGCUUAUUUGUAUGUGUGUAUAUAAUAUGUGUGUUUGUAUAAGCAGAAAGUAGCUAUUUGAAUACCAGGCUUGGGCGACUGUUGAGAUUUCAGUGAAAAGACUCUGUAAGACUUGGAUUUCAAUGAGUCUUUCAGAUAUUUCAUUUUAUUUAGGAUGAUUUGUGAUUAUUUCCUGUUGUCAUAAAAGGCCACUUAAGCCUCUGGCAUGCCUUGAAUUGUCCCAGAAGGGGCUUCAUGGAAUAGUAGAAAGUUCUCUAAACCCUGAAACCAGGUGGACUUAGGUUUGAACUGAAGCUCUGCCACUGAAUAAUUUGUUACCUUGGGCAACUUGAUUAACCUCUCUGAACCCAGCUUAUCAUAUGAAUAUGGUACGAUGAUCUGUUAAUAUACCGACUUACCUUUCUUCUUGCUAUUCUCCAUCCCAAGACAGUAGGUGGAUGCCCUUGCCUCAGGACCGUAAUGGCUUACUGCAUAAGUUGCAGGUCCCAAUAUGACAGCCUCUCACCAAGACAUCUGGAAAAUUGAUGGGGGCUGGAACUUGGAGCUGGUGAGUCAGAGGAAGCCGACCCUGAGAAGAGAAGAGAAACUCACUCCUGGAGUCAGGGAAGAUGAUGGUGUUUUGUGUAAGAGGCGUAGGGCUUGUGAAGGGCCAGUUCAUGGAUACCAGGACUGACUAAGAGCUAUGGCCUGAGAAGUCACAGGGAACAAGCCGUGUCCAUGCUAGUCAUGGAGCACGUGGAGCCACCUGCCUGUGAGUGGAGCCCGUGGGCCUGUGGGCCUGAUGGCCAAGAGAGCGGACCUCUCUCUAGAUUUAGGAAAAUAAGGUCAUGGAACACUUUUGACUAACACUCCAUAUCUUCUUGCACCAGGCAUCUUCACAAUAUCAUCAGAGCAUUGGGACCACUUGAGCAAAGAACACCGAAAAAGACAAAAGAGCUUCGCCAACCUCUGUGCUCUCAGGAGGGGCUGAUUUCAAGGCAUCCAGUUAGCUGUGGGAACAGAAGUGCUGACAGGGGCACCCAUCACUCUGGAGGCCCCAUGGGCCAGGAGGCCAUGAGGAAGCAGCGGCAGCACUUGUCAGAGCCCAGAAGGGCCUCUUGGAGGAAGCAUCAGAGGGUGGUCUUAUGAGAAAAUCCACAAUUUUAUAGCUGGUACAUUUGAUGUUGGAAGAAUGGAACAUGCAGAGGUGAAAACUAAGGAUUGUGUUCAUGUGGGCUUCCAGGCCAUCAAGAUGCCCUCCAGCCUGAAGCAGGAAGUGAACAAUGGCUCGAUCAAAGUGGAAGAAACUUCAGAAGCACUGAUAAAGACAGGACACAUUAAGUGAGUAUAUAUACCAUGUGAGGAAACCUGAGCAGGGCUCCUGGAGUGCCAAGUUUUACAUGGCAGUGGUUACAUGGGGUGAAACUGGUUGGUGGCAUGAACAGUCUUUGCACACUGCACAGAAGGCAGAUCUACCCCACCUACUGGGGAGGUAACCUGAACCGCUGGACUUGAAUACAACAGUUGGGACACAACAGUUGAAUCUGAGACUUAGACAAAUGGAGUGACUUAUGCAAAACCACACGGUCCAGAGCUGGGAUAAAUGAGAAUCCAGUUCUCAUUCCUUUUCAUGGUCCCUCCACAUUAGUUCACAGAACAUCCUAUCAAAAUGAUGACUGUUACAGCGAAGGGUCCCCACAAAAACUCAAUAUCCACACUUGAUCAGUGGAAGCAAUGCUUUGUCAUCUGGUUCCAGUGAAUUUUAUGUAAGAAAUAAUCCUCUCUAAUGCUUUCUCUGAUUCCCAGCUUUGCAACAUUCUCUUUCUAUAAGAAAAGAAUUGAAUGGAUGUUAACUAGACUUACUGUGGUGUUCACUUCACAAUAUAUACAAAUAUUGAAUCAUUAUGCUGUACACCUAAGGCUAAUAUAAUGUUGUAUGUUAAUUAUACUUAAAAAAAACUUAAAGAAAAUAAUUGUAUACUUUUCCCACUAAGGAUGGAGAAAAGAGAGUUAAGCUGACUUCACUUGGUGUUUUAAUUCUUUUUCUUGCUAUUAAAUAUCUUUCAUCUUCAAUUUCUCUGUCUCCUUUCUACCCCAAAUACCUCAGACCACCACCAGGAUACCAGGUAGUAGAAAAUGGUAUAAGCUUGAGGGUUGCUCUCUUGGGAAGUAAUAAUCACCAUGUCAGUGUGUUAGAAUUUAUGCAGUGGAAAUAUUUCAUUUGAACCUACACAUCUCUAUAGCAGUAAGAAAUUAUGAUCUUCAUUUUAGAGAUGAUGAAACCACAGUUUUCUGACAAGAAGAUGAUCCCUUAAGCAGAAUAGCAACAACUUUUGUCUAACUCUGGAUUUUAUUAAGUUCUUAAUUUUAGGGUGGUAAAUAUGGGGACCAAAGUCUUUGGGAGAUCCCAAAUGCAGGAAACAUCCUCCCUGCCCACAUUAACUAACCAGAUGUAUUUAUGCAUAUAUGCUGUGGAGCCAUUACAGAGACAGAUGCGUAUAUCCACAUUACUGUCUUUUCUGCCCAGUGUAUCUGAAGUUUUGCUUAUGUAUGUAGAAGUUUUGCUCUUACCUGGGAGAAAACUGAGGUGUGAAGAGCAGGAGAUUUGCCCUUGCCCACAUGGUAAGUGAAAAGUUGCACCAAAAAGAACUAUCACUCUACAGUGUAGAAAUGUUCUUCCUAGUGAUGUGUUAAUUUUAACAAAAUGUUACCAUAAUGAAGCAGCAUAUUUAACUCAUGGAGGUUUUUUAUAGCAGUACUCUGUAUGUGCAAAGUAAAAUCUGAUAGUAUCUCUAACAGAGUCUUCCCCCCUUUUUUAAAAUAAAGAACUUCAAGAGCAGAGUGGGAGGGUUUUAAUGAUAAAAAUAUAAAGAGUAGGAUUCCUAUCAUCUUUAACUAAGGAUAGGCUCCAUUUCCUAGUUGUUUAACCUCUAAAAAAGAAUUCCAAUUCUUAAGAAAUUUAAGAUACUUUAGAAUCUAAAAUAACACUGAAUAUCAUUAGAAAAUUCCUUUGUCCUCUUAUGAUCAUUUUACUUUGGUAAACAACUUUUCUCAGUAUUCUUCUUAAAGAUCACUAUUUUUAAUUAAGUUGAAUCACGAAAUGGAUAGCAUGGUACAUGCAUUUUGCCCCUGAGAUACUUCGUUUUGAAAGAAUCCUAGAGUAGAGUUGAAGAGAUUAGAGUUGAAGGGAAAUUUAUAAGACAUCAGUCUAAUCUUUGAUUCUGGGUAGGACUGUCAUUUACAACAUACCUGAAAGGAAACCAGGCAGUAUCUAUAAGAAUACGACCAAUGACAGGGACCUCACUCCUUCACACAGUGGUCUACCCUCUGUUCCCCAAUUCUCGUCACUUUAUAGUUCUUCCUCAUUUUGAAUAAAAAUCUACCCAUUCUUUUGCCUGGACCUGACUCCCAAGUGACACAAAGUCUCCUCUUUCUUCGUAUAUGAUUUUUGAGGACUUGUUUCCUUGCUUCAGGCUUUUGUUCUUCCAAACAAAAGAUCUGUCUUUGAUUUGUCCUUUGAUUUGUCUUCCUCUACCUGUGGUUCAGAUCCAUCAGUAUCAUUGAUUUGUCUUCCUCUACCUGUGGUUCAGAUCCAUCAGUAUCGUCCUUCCCUAUGAAAGUCAUUGUCCUUUCAAUCUAUUAUAAUUUCCCAGUCUCCCUUUUAAAAUGUGUACCUCAAAAUUCAUGCAACCUUUGGUAAUCUUCAGAAAUUGCUGCUGCUGAGAAAUGUCCCCUGCUUUAUGUGACUAGCCCAGAAAUGUCCCCUGCUUUAUGUGACUAGCCCUCUUCAGCUCACUGGGCUCUUUCAGUGACAUUGGGUCUGAGGACCUACCUUUGCCAAGGUCUCAUCAUCCAGGUGAUUCUUCUGAAUCACAUGUUGAAGUGCAAAAUAAAUUUUUUCCUGAAGCUUCUGGACCUUCCUUGGUUCUAUCAGCCAGGCUCGGUCUGACAAAGGGAAAGAAUGGGUAAGGAGCGGACAGAAUGUAAGCUUUGUUGUAUUUCACCUACAUACAUAUAAGUGCUGAGUACCAGACCCAUUCCAAAUUAGUUCCAAAUUGCUUCUGAAGACAUGUCAUUAUUUUUCUAAAACAAAUAUUUUGUAAGAAAUUCUAUGAUGACAGUAAUGUAUAAUACAUUGACAUACAGAAUCAGGGUGGAGGUAAAGACACAAUGGUUCAGAGAAACUCCAUGUAUCUUAUUGUCUGUGACAAUUUACAUCUCUUACUCUUUCUCUGGACAUAUGCUUAGAUUUUCUUUCAAAGUUUAUGUUAAUGAUUUGUGAAGAAAUUAAUUAUAGAAGUGAAGAAAACCUAUUGUAAAGGAGUGUUUUUGGAAUUCAGAAUCUCCCUUCCCUUUUAUAAGCUAAGUUAUAAUUUAUAUAGCAUCAACAUGAAUCAAUUAAAAAAUUUAAUCCUGAGUCCUCUUUUUCUAUAUUGAAUUUAAUAGAUAGGAUAAUCCCUCCUUUCCUUUAGCCUUUCCCACUUUCCUUUCUUUUUUCUUUCCUCCCUCCCUCCCUCUCUUUGUUCCCUGCUUCCGUCCUUCCUUUCUUCCUAGACGCUUUAUACCAUGGUGACAAAAUUCAGCCCAGUGUCAACGCCUAAGGUUGAAACUUCAAUGAAGAGACACCUAGAGUCUCCAAAUUCUGAACAAAUACUCAUGGAAAAGAACUUGGACAUGAUCCUUCUGAACACAGUUCAGGUCAGGAACCGGAGUGAAACCAGCUCCCUCAUCGUGGACUCAAAGGCUUAGAACUAAUCGUCACCUGAACUAUAAUCAAUGGGAGCAAUCAAAUGCAAUGAGAAAACGAACUUAUGGAGACUGCUUUUUGGUACAAAAAAAAAUUCAAGGGGGCUCCCCUGGUGGUGCAGUGGUUGAGAGUCCGCCUGCCGAUGCAGGGGACGCGGGUUCGUGCCCCGGUCCAGGAAGAUCCGACAUGCCGCGGAGCGGCUGGGCCCGUGAGCCAUGGCCGCCGAGCCUGCGCAUCCGGAGCCUGCGCGUCCGGAGCCUGUGCUCCGCAACGGGAGAGGCCACAGCAGUGAGAGGCCUGCGUACCGCAAAAAAAAAAAUUCAACGGAAAAGACAUCAAAUCACAUCACUCUCUUAAGUAAUACAGAACUCUGGAAAUGUAUUUUGAUCCUUGGGUUAUUUUCUUUGGAAUGGGAAACAUAAAUCCAAGUUAUGUGUUAAUUCUGUUUUUUAUUGACCAUAACAAUACCUAUGCUUUUGUCUCCUUAUUUAUAUAAAAGUGGUAAGAUUUAAUUAUUCCACUGGAGAAAAAUCAGUAUGUUGUAGUCAUAUAUUUCUAUAUAGACACAUUUAUAUAUUUUAUUAAAAUUUCAUUUACCAGUAGGUUUUGUGAUUAUGGAUCUCAAUCCUGUAGAAAAUUAAUGUGAAUCAAAACAACAACAACAAAAACAGCAACAAAUUUCUUCUCUUAAAACCUUCUCUAAUGGACACAAAAAUAAUCAAAAUAAUAACAGUAAAAAUGUAGGGUGAGUUGUCCCUUUUUCCUUUGGUCCUUUUUAAACAUGUAGGGUAAGAAAAAACAUUCAGAAUGCUUUGUUGCAUAUCUUUGUAGUGUAAGUUUGCAGCUAUUAUUAUUAUGCUAUGACUUUUUCAAUUGCUCCUAUUCCUUGCCUGGCUGCAAGAAACCACUAUGAGAUGUCCUAAAAUCACCUGAUGUGGGCACAGUCUCCCCAGUCACUCAAAUAGGGCAGUGGUUUUCAAUCGGGGUCGUUUUGCCCCCCAGGGAACAUUUGGCAACAUCUGGAGACAUUUGGGUUGUCACAACUAUGGGUGAGGGGAUGCUACUGGCACCUAGUGGGUAGAGACCAAGGAUGAUGCUGAACAUCCUACAAUGUGCAGGACAAUCCUUACAGCAAAGAACUGUCCAGUCUGAAAUGUCAACAGUGCAGAGGUUGAAAAAGCCAGAAACAGAGAAAUCACAGAAAAACUUUCCUGUAGUUUCCCAGAGUACCUUGCUUUGAUACGCUUUAAUUUCUUCAUAUGUGUGGAUCUGCCAUGCCAGCUGGUGUAGCUCCUCCAUGGUGUACUGACAUGUCUCCAGAUGGGACUUAAUGAUGUUCUGCGCAAUUCGAUCUAUGAGAAAGAAUAUCAGUUUGAGGGUUUGUGAAUAAAAUCCCACUCUGCGGAAAGAAACCUGCUGUUAAUGUGUUUCCUGUAGGAAUGCCUUUUGGAGCUACUCCAAUUGUAUGAGCAUGUCUUUAACAUUACUAUCUAUUUAAAAAUCUCCAGACAAACUCUUUACUGCUUUUUUUCAAUUUUCAGUCUUUUUAUCAAAAUUAACUGCCUUUUCCUCCUCUUUUUGGUCACAAAACUGGGGUCUUAAAGUUUUAAAAUGUUCAAAUAGAUAUUUAUUUUAAAAAUAAAUACAAAUUACCAUGUACCAUGUUUCUUGAUUUUGGGCCUGAAAGUCCACUCACAGUCUUGUAACACUUGUCACACUGUAACAGUCAGUGUAAACUCCAAAAACUUUAAAAUAUUUGGAAAAUCACUAGAUCCCCAGUGUUUAUCUCAGAAAGGAGGAAUUGAAAUAUAAAUGUUUUGCUUGUAUUUUAAAAAGGGAGGAUUAAACAAUAAUCUAAGAAAAUAGUUUUCUAUAGAGGAAAGAGAAGAGAAUGGGGGCACAGGGAUAGAAGCCAGACUUCUCUGAUGGUAUUGUUUUUGUAGAUGUUACUUUGGAACCACGUAGAUAUCUUCCAUAAAUAAUGUGAGAGGGAGAUGAAAUGAUAUGGACUCAUGAGGUGAUAAUUUUGAAGCUGGGUCAUGAGGGCCCUUAUAUUCUUCUUUCAAAUUUUUCAUAAGAUAAAAUUUUUCCCUGAAAAAGUUAAAAAAGAGGAAAUGGUUUUACUCAUUAAAAAAGUAGAAAUAAACACAAUCAAUUUGGGGGGGCCAUUUAUUCCAAAUGCGUUGUAUUUAGUAUUGUAUCUUAAAUAUCGAUUAUUUUGGGUUUCGAGGUAUGGAAGUUGAGUAAUAGAACCAGACAUAAGAGCUCUCCUUAACAACCUGCAGGGAGUGCCCCGAAGUGGGAUAGAGCUGGCAGAAGGUCCCCUCAUAAUCCCCCCUCUGCUAUUUGAACAUGUGAAGGUGACAUCUUGGAAUUCUGUACUUAGGAAUUCUGUAAGUGGGAUAUGAGUAGAAUGAAGAUGACCAAAUUUUCUGCCUGGUAACUGUUCUUGGCUCAUAUAGAAAUGGAGUUUUUCUUGUGUUUCAGGUGGUGCCAGUUUAAAUGCAAUUUCUGUUCUUUCUAAAUAGCAAUACUUCAUUUCUCCAGGGUAACUCUCAAAGCAGUACUCAGGUCCCGUUUUCUUUUUGUACCUUGCUAAGCUUCUGGUAUAUAUGGAGUGAAAUAAAUUGAGUUUUAGUAACGCAGAGAAUAAAAAAUGUAAGCUUAAGCUUCUAAUGCACCUUCGAAAUAAAAAAAUCUCGUAUAUCCAUUGCCUGGCACAUUAUAAACACUGAAUAAAUGGUAGCCACGAUUGUCAUUAUUAGGACAUUCUACAUAGUUUUUCAUCAGGGAAGGAAUCUGACCACCCAGUGGAGAUGAAACGGAGCUAUUUAAUUUUGGAAUCAGUGCUACUGAAGGAAGAUAUUUCGAUAUUUAUUAAAGUUGUUCAAUCAGAACUAUAAACUGAUGGAUGUAGAAGAUGCUACAAAAUGCUAACUUAUGAUUAUGGCUAUGCUCUAUUGGAUUCAGCAUUGAGCAUUUCUAGACUUUCAUUGCUUAUCAUGUUAUAAAAAUCCUUUCUUUAAAAAAUCCUAUAUUCAAAAAUUUAUUGAACGUCCUCCUAUGUUGUAAAAAAGGGCAGGAAAUAUUCUAUACAU